rnacentral:rRNA from 1 species
AUUGAACGCUGGCGGCAUGCUUUACACAUGCAAGUCGAACGGCAGCGGGGGCUUCGGCCUGCCGGCGAGUGGCGAACGGGUGAGUAAUGCAUCGGAACGUGCCCAGUCAUGGGGGAUAACUACGCGAAAGCGUAGCUAAUACCGCAUACGCCCUGAGGGGGAAAGCGGGGGAUCGCAAGACCUCGCGUGAUUGGAGCGGCCGAUGUCGGAUUAGCUAGUUGGUGGGGUAAAGGCCUACCAAGGCGACGAUCCGUAGCGGGUCUGAGAGGAUGAUCCGCCACACUGGGACUGAGACACGGCCCAGACUCCUACGGGAGGCAGCAGUGGGGAAUUUUGGACAAUGGGGGGCAACCCUGAUCCAGCCAUGCCGCGUGAGUGAAGAAGGCCU